rnacentral:rRNA from 3 species
GCCGACCUUGAAAUACCACCCUUUAAUGUUUGAUGUUCUAACGUGGACCCGUGAUCCGGGUUGCGGACAGUGUCUGGUGGGUAGUUUGACUGGGGCGGUCUCCUCCUAAAGAGUAACGGAGGAGCACGAAGGUUGGCUAAUCCUGGUCGGACAUCAGGAGGUUAGUGCAAUGGCAUAAGCCAGCUUGACUGCGAGCGUGACGGCGCGAGCAGGUGCGAAAGCAGGUCAUAGUGAUCCGGUGGUUCUGAAUGGAAGGGCCAUCGCUCAACGGAUAAAAGGUACUCCGGGGAUAACAGGCUGAUACCGCCCAAGAGUUCAUAUCGACGGCGGUGUUUGGCACCUCGAUGUCGGCUCAUCACAUCCUGGGGCUGAAGUAGGUCCCAAGGGUAUGGCUGUUCGCCAUUUAAAGUGGUACGCGAGCUGGGUUUAGAACGUCGUGAGACAGUUCGGUCCCUAUCUGCCGUGGGCGCUGGAGAACUGAGGGGGGCUGCUCCUAGUACGAGAGGACCGGAGUGGACGCAUCACUGGUGUUCGGGUUGUCAUGCCAAUGGCACUGCCCGGUAGCUAAAUGCGGAAGAGAUAAGUGCUGAAAGCAUCUAAGCACGAAACUUGCCCCGAG